CGUGUAGGCGGCUCGGAAAGUUGGAUGUGAAAGCUCCUGGCUUAACUGGGAGAGGUCGUUCAAUACUUCCGGGCUUGAGAGUGGUAGAGGGAGGUGGAAUUCCGAGUGUAGUGGUGAAAUGCGUAGAUAUUCGGAGGAACACCAGUGGCGAAAGCGGCCUCCUGGACCAUUUCUGACGCUCAGACGCGAAAGCUAGGGUAGCAAACG
rnacentral:rRNA from 1 species